GCCAGACAUGGUGGUGCAUACCUGUAAUCCAAGCUACUGGGGAGGUUGAGGCAGGAAGAUCACAAGUUCAAGGCCAGCCUUGGCAAUUUAAUGAGACCCUGUCUCAA
rnacentral:sRNA from 1 species